CUACUGGUACCUUACCAAUGAGGGUAUCCAGUAUCUCUGUGAUUACCUUCACCUGCCCUCGGAGAUUGUGCCUGCCACCCUACACUGCAGCUGUCCAGAGACUGGCAGGCCUUGGCCUAAAGUCUGGAGGGUGAACGACCUGCAAGACUCACAAGAGGGGAAGCCAACAGAGAUACCUACAAACGGAGUGCUGUGCCCCCUGGUGCCAACGAGAAAGCCGAGGCUGGGGCUGGGUCAGCAACCAAAUUCCAGUUCAGAGAUGGAUUUGGUUGUGGACAUGGUCAGCCACCUCAGUAAAAUUGGAGAGGAUUAUUAUGCAAUGAAUAAACUUACAGUCAAAAAAAAAAAACUUAAGAAAGAAAGCUGCGGAAGAGUGCAGUGAGGUGCCUCAGCAUGAGAAAAAGACAGGGUCUCGCUCUGCCAUCCGGGAAAGAGUGCAGCGGUGUGAUCAUAGCUCACUGUAACUUGUAACUCCUGGACUCAAGCAAUCCUCCCACCUCAGCCUUCCGAGUAGCUAGAACUACAGGUA
rnacentral:lncRNA from 1 species